CCUAGUCUUUAAUGUCUGGCUCCCCAAAUGAGGGAAAUGAAAAAAAUGAAGGGACAGGGAAAGGGGUGGUGGCCCUUUAAGUCCCCUGGAAGUCACAUCAGCCAGAGGGGAAGAAUGGGCGAAUACGUUGGCCUUCCCAGAGACCGCUCAUCUGGACAGAAUGAGAUGGUGUUAGCAACACAGACUACCUGCCUCUCAACCAUGUCCUGACUGUGUCUAGUGGCUACUUGAGUACACGGUUACCAUGGAACGCACAACCCCGCACCAUUGACAACUCUGUUGGGUGGUGAUGGGCUUAUGCGCCUGGAGUUCACAACCUGCUUCCCGGUUUCACCCCAUGGAUACCGACAACACCUGCAAUAUUUUCUCCAGUUGAUGAUAUGAUUCAUGGGACUGAUUCAACACAAUGCCUGCCAGUGGCCCAAAUCCUGCUGAGGAAAGGCAGUUUCUUGCACACCUCCUUAGGUAUCAUCCUAGCUUUGUUUCUUUUCCCAGAUAACAGCCAGCACUGCUGCCCUGAACUAGCGACACGAGACUCCUCCCCAGCGAGCCAGCUACAACUAUUUAAAAUGCACUUUUAGGUGACAUCUUUCUUAUCAAGAAGGGCUCUUAAUAGAAUGCAGUUGUUGCCUAACAAGAGAAUGUUGGCCUUGAAUGCACAGGACAAAAUCAGGGUUUGUGCAUCACUGUAAAUGAAGGUCAAGAUGCCCUAAUAUGGAAGUACAGUGAUAUUCUUUUCUUUAGCAUCUUAUUGUUACUAGACUAAUGAUACCCAGGGAGAGGGGAAAAUGAGCAAGAGACCCUAUUUUCCUUCCUUGGU